UCUCCGUAGGUGAACCUGCGGAGGGAUCAUUACUGAGUGAGGGCUUCGGUCCGACCUCCAACCCUUUGUGAACCAAACUUGUUGCUUCGGGGGCGACCCUGCCGCUUCGGCGGUGCGGCGCCCCCGGAGGCCAUUAAACACUGCAUCAUUGCGUCGGAGUUAAAGUAAAUUAAACAAAACUUUCACCAACGGAGCUCUUAGUUCCAGCAUCGAUGAAGACUGCAGC
rnacentral:misc_RNA from 1 species